GUUACUUAAGAAAUUAACUAAAACCACACAUUUAUUAGUAAUAGAACUUAAGCCAGUUUAAGCGCUUAAAAUAUUGCUCCUCUGCAGAUCUCACAGGACACCACCACCUUGCCAUGCCGGUCUGAUGGCCAGCAUUCACAGCGUCCUGCAGCUACACAAGGAGCUCCGGAGUGAGGGCAUAACCGUAUUAUGCACCUCAAAAUUAAACCAGGACUGCCUGGAGAACCUUUUCUCAGUAAUCAGAGGGAAAGGGGGGCAUCGUUUUCACCCGACAGCCCGGGAAUUUGCCUCAGCUCUCAAAAGUGCGUGUGUCGCAGGCCUGGUUGAUGCUGAGGGAAGUGGCACGAACUGCCUGCCUGACGGCUCAACAGUCCUGGUGACCAGCGAGGGAGGAAGAGGCACACUUCAGGUUAGACCGAUACAACAAAAAAAAGACUGAAACGGCAAAAACACUUAUAAAAACAAUGGUCAAUGCCAUCUCACCAGUAGCCAUAGUUCCCCAGUGUAAUCAAGAUUUUGUUUAAAUCAAACUCCAAUGUAACCCAACUACUCUCGUCUUGUAUUUCAGUUACUGUUCUUUUUUUUAAUCGAAUUUUAAUGCACCAGACAAAGACACAUCCUUGAAAGAAUGACUGCAUUUGCAAUGUGUUUCACUCCUCUAGAACAUCACUCCAGCAUCAAACCAGCUACCUACCCAGGCUCCCGAGGAGGUAAUGACAUGUUUCAUGAAAUCAAAAAAUAUGACUAGUUGGGGGCAGGCAAACUAUCUACAGUUAUGCAUUGAAUUUUGUGUGUAUUUGGAAAUCACAGGGCGUCAAUGAGGAACUACAGGAAGGGGAGGAGGAAGCCCUCAACUAUGUGGCCGGCUGGGUAUGCCAAAAGGUGAAGGAGGACCCCGAACUCGGGCAGUGCAGUGAAUGCGAGCGUGUGCUCACAAAGCACAAUGAUGCAGAACAUUCAUACUGCACUGCCAUGAGGGAGGGAUCCUUCCUAAGGCAGAAGCAAUAUUCUUCAACUGCAGGCCUGUGCAACCCCUCAGACGUGCUCGGGUUGGCUAUAAACAAAUCUGAGGUGGCCAUCAAGAGAGCCCUGCCACGGGUCUGGGGAUCAAGGGGCAUCACAAGAGCCCUUCAGGACCUCUUAAAACAUGAGGGGGCAUUUGAACAGAUCUUAGAAGCCCACCCUACACAUGGAAAGAAAAUCGAAAGAGUGGCCUCCAAAAAAUGUAUCAUGUGUAGGGUGGGAGCCGCAAUUAAGAGGAUGAAUGAGGAUGUGGAGGGAGGGAAGAGGCAAAAAGAAAAGACGGCAAGGAAGUUGGCGUGCCUGAACACUAGCCCUAAUGUUUGCUGACGUUACAAAAUUAACUAAAAAUAAUCAAAUGUGUGUGAGUGACUGUGUGUGUGUGUGAGAGAGAGAAACGUAAAACGAAUGAAUGGGACAAUAACGUCAGCAAUUAAAUAAAUUCCUAUUAUUGAUAACA